AAAACCUUCGGGCACCAUAAGCGACGGUGAGUAGAGAAAACAAAAAUGAGGGAGUCUGCUUGGUGAAAACUCGCAAAGAGCACUAUCAGGCGACAGUGAGAAGAGAAAUGAGAGAGGUCGGAUGGGCGAAAACACACAAAGGGUGUUGUCAGCCGAAAAGAGGAUACUUCAUCACUAAAAGUCCUGGCAAGGUUCCCAAGUUUGGAAAUAUG
rnacentral:lncRNA from 1 species